GACGAACGCUGGCGGCAUGCCUAAUACAUGCAAGUCGAGCGAACAGAUGAAGUGCUUGCACUUCUGACGUUAGCGGCGAACGGGUGAGUAACACGUAAGGAAUCUACCUAUAAGCGGGGGAUAACAUUCGGAAACGGGUGCUAAUACCGCAUAAUAUCUUCUUCCGCAUGGAAGAAGAUUGAAAGACGGCUCUGCUGUCACUUAUAGAUGACCUUGCGGUGCAUUAGUUAGUUGGUGGGGUAAUGGCCUACCAAGACGAAGAUGCAUAGCCGAACUGGGAGGGUGAUCGGCCACAUUGGGACUGGGACACGGCCCAAACUCCUACGGGAGGCAGCAGUAGGGAAUCUUCCGCAAUGGGCGAAAGCCUGACGGAGCAAUGCCGCGUGAGUGAAGAAGGCCUUCGGGUCGUAAAACUCUGUUAUAAGAGAAGAACAAAUUGUAGAGUAACUGCUACAGUCUUGACGGUAUCUUAUCAGAAAGCCACGGCUAACUACGUGCCAGCAGCCGCUGUAA
rnacentral:rRNA from 1 species